rnacentral:rRNA from 1 species
UGGGGAAUAUUGCACAAUGGGCGCAAGCCUGAUGCAGCCAUGCCGCGUGUAUGAAUAAGGCCUUCGGGUUGUAAAGUACUUUCAGCGGGGAGGAAGGGAGUAAAGUUAAUACCUUUGCUCAUUGACGUUUCCCGCAGAAGAAGCACCGGCUAACUCCGUGCCAGCAGCCGCGGUUAUACGGAGGGUGCAAUCGUUAAUCGGAAUUACUGGGCGUAAAGCGCACGCAGGCGGUUUGUUAAGUCAGUUGUGAAAUCACCGGGCGAAACCUGGGAACUGAAUCUGAUACUGGGAAGCUUGAGUCUCGUAGAGGGGGGUAGAAUUCCAGGUGUAGCGGUGAAAUGCGUAGAGAUCUGGAGGAAUAACGGUGGCGAAGGCGGCCCCAUGGACAAAGACUGACGCUCAGGUGCGAAAGCGUGGGGAGCAAACAGG